AGGCCAAACGCCAACAUGUUGUGGAUGAAGGUGCCCAGCUGCCCGAAGGUGAUGUUCUCGUUGAAGCGCAGGCUGUCGUCCCUCUCCUCCUGUGUCAUGUGGCACCACUUCUCCCUGGUGGUGGGGGAGCGCUUCCUGCGCUCGCAGUGCACGGCGUCGAAGAAGGCGGCGUUCCAGAAGCGCAGGUUGUGCCAGAUGGGCUGCUGCUUGAGGUGCAUGUACAGGUAGAUCUUCU
rnacentral:lncRNA from 1 species